rnacentral:rRNA from 1 species
UACGAAGGGGGCUAGCGUUGCUCGGAAUCACUGGGCGUAAAGCGCACGUAGGCGGAUUGCUAAGUCAGGGGGUGAAAUCCUGGAGCUCAACUCCAGAACUGCCUUUGAUACUGGCGACCUUGAGUCCGGGGAGAGGUGAGUGGAACUGCGAGUGUAGAGGUGAAAUGCGCAGAUAUCAGGAAGAACACCAAUGGCGAAGGCAGCUCUCUGGGACGGUACUGACACUGGAGACGCGAAAGCGUGGGGAGCGAACAGG